rnacentral:rRNA from 1 species
CCUACGGGAGGCAGCAGUGGGGAAUAUUGCACAAUGGGGGCAACCCUGAUGCAGCGACGCCGCGUGAGUGAGGAAGUAUUUCGGUAUGUAAAGCUCUAUCAGCAGGGAAGAAAAUGACGGUACCUGACUAAGAAGCCCGGGCUAACUACGGGCCAGCAUCCGCGGGUAUCCGUAGGGGGCAAGCGUUAUCCGGAUUUAUUGGGGUUAAAGGGAGCGUAGACGGUUAAUCAAGUCAGAAGUGAAAACCCAGGGCUCAACCUUGGGACUGCUUUUGAAACUGGGUAGCUAGAGUGCAGGAGAGGUAAGCGGAAUGCCUGGUGUAGCGGUGAAAUGCAUAGAUAUUAGGAGGAACACCAGUGGCGAAGGCGGCUUGCUGGACUGUAACUGACGUUGAGGCUCGAAAGCGUGGGGAUCAAACAGGAUUAGAUACCCCAGUAGUC